rnacentral:lncRNA from 1 species
UGGACUGCUCAUUGGUGCUAGAAGUUGAUAUCUUUUGCCAAGUUGAAUUCCAUAUAGAGCAGAAGCUUGUAUUGGUGUAGUUUUAAUAUGUGCUUCAUCUAAAUCAACUACAUGUUGGAUAUAUAACACUGUAUGAUCAAUGGUCGCUCAUGGCAUGUCUGUGGAAUGUCUGCAACAAGUUGAUUUACGCUUGCGUUCAGGUCAGCCAUAUAUUGUAUUCCUUCUUGACAGACUUAAUCUUUUAAAUAUCUUCACAGCCAGAAAUUGCAGGAAUCCAAGUCUGAAGAUUCUAAAGGGAUUCUUUUUUAACUGUGGAAAGUCUGGAGAUUUGACUGACCAUUUAUUAUGCAGUAUUAUGUAUCCAUUACCUAAUCAGUUUAGAUAGAGCACAUAUUGAAGUUCUGCAAAUGCUUUUUGAAUAAUACAGUCUUAUUAUUGCAAUGCUG